UAAUACGUAGGAGGCUAGCGUUAUCCGGAUUUAUUGGGCGUAAAGCGCACGCAGGCGGUCGUGUAAGUCGGACGUGAAAGCUCCCGGCUCAACCGGGAGAGGUCGUUCGAUACUGCGCGACUUGAGGUUGGGAGAGGGGAGUGGAAUUCCCGGUGUAGUGGUGGAAUGCGUAGAUAUCGGGAGGAACACCAGUGGCGAAAGCGACUCCCUGGCCCACACCUGACGCUCAGGUGCGAAAGCGUGGGUAGCGAACGGGAUUAGAUACCCCGGUAGUCCACGCUGUAAACGAUGCGAACUAGGUGUUGGUAGUAUUAAACCUAUCAGUGCCGAAGCUAACGCGAUAAGUUCGCCGCCUGGGGACUACGGCCGCAAGGCUAAAACUUAAAUGAAUUGACGG
rnacentral:rRNA from 1 species